rnacentral:lncRNA from 1 species
GAAUAAGGCCGGUAGAAAUGCUAACUAAAGUCGUAGUGAAAGACCAGUUAUGAAAGAGAAAUUCAGUCAAUCCUUCCAAUCUAGUAUCUAUAAAAGAAAGUAAAGAUGGGAUGGGAUUAGAAGCACUAAUCAAAGGAGAUUUAUUUGCUGUCAUCGAGCAGGGCUGAAUAGAUAUCUGUUCUGUUGGCGAAUCUCGGGCAUCUUCAUGGCUAAGAUCAAAAGAAGUGAUUUAAUUAGUAAAAGAAAUCGAUCACUGCUUGGACUCCCCGAAUGGGAGUUACUUUUCUUUUCUUCAUGCAACCCCUGCAAAGUAAAGGUGAACCUACCUUACCCAAUAAGGAGUACGGAUUACCCGUGUACCGGGCCUAGAUAAUUUCUUUAAUUCGCUACAGGUAAGGGUUAGCACAAUACUCCCUAAGACUCAAUCCCGCUUCCUUGUGCGGCUUCGUCGAGGAAUUACCUCGUUAGCCCACGCGAACUAGCUAUCAGCUAUUAGAUAGCAAUAAGAACACCUUUCUUUCGUAAGAAGGGUUACCGAAUGAUUGGGAGGGGAAGUAAGCUUGGAGGGUUUUACCAGUGUGUGGCAUUUAACAACAUUCGUAAGUCGUUCCAGCUUUCCAAAAAACCCAGUCUCGCAGAGCACCAAUUAACUCUUUUAGGCCAGUCUCAGGAGUUUAUUUAUUUGAGCCUCUGUCUCGGAUAAGAUUAGUGCGAGCCACAUCCAAAUACCUCGGUCAAAUUAUUCUGUUUAUUAUUAUAUUAGGCCGCAGGUGGUAGAAUCCCUCUGUCUCACGAGCAAAACAGCCAAGUAAGCUAAGUUUGGAUCUGGUAAGGUUGGGUUAAAGCCAAAGUAAGGAAUGAAUGGAGAAGCACAGUCUGGCUCUAUAAGUAAGGAAAUAUCUCUAUCCGGUUAUUUGUAGUGAAAAUCAGUCUCGAGGGGAGCAAGCAAACUCCAAAUUAAUAUGAAUACGGACCUGGUUCAACAAGUCGAAAGUCAUAGGAACUUAGAGAUUCGGUUUCUUAUGUAACUCGCUUGCUAGAAACAAGUCUUGGAUGCCACAACUUCACAUCCAGUCAGUAAGUUUGUAAGUAAGGUAACUUAAGAAAAGCGAGCCAGAUAAGAUUGUUAAGAAUCAAAGCGAGUGCUGCAGAUGAUUCUGAUUUUCUAGUAACUGGUCGUCUGUACUUAAAUCAAAUGAAACAAGAGAGCCCACUUCUUACUUCUUGCAGGUGUUUGGGAGGCGGCUAAGCUACAGAACUUGUAGUUCAAGUUUACGAGCCAGAUUGGACGGAAGGAGUAUAAGAUUCAGAUUUGGAGCUAACGAGCCUAGCAACAGCUUAGUUCUUUUGUAGGUAAUCGAUCGAAUCCGCCUAGACCGGGGAAGAUUUCUAAGAAAGCAGGUCUAGCAUUUUAAACAACAUUUGCCAAUGCACAAAGUAUGGUAAGUAAGGUAGGCUUAGCUGACUGAUGCUUACUAAAUCGAAACUUUGACUUCUAUAUCCAACUCAGUCUUUCCCUUAAGAUCUCUGCUGUUGGAGAUAGCGUGGGCGGCCCCUCACUUUUAUUCAGAACUUUGAUGGUACGAAGUGCCCAGUAAGCCUGGCUGGAAGAAAGGAAUAUUAAUUACAACCACUUGUAUACAGCUUAGUUGGACUCAAAGGAUAUAAGGGAAUUGGCGCUCGCUCGGAUUCAUUUUCCAGGUCCUACAUGUUCUAGGACUAUAGAUGAUCCAACAUGCCUAUAGUUUUCAUUAUUGUUUUAUGCUUUAGCCUCCUUUUAUAAGCACGCCCAUGCGAGUCGAUUUCAAGAUGUCAACUUUGACUAUCUUUCUCUUCUUACUUUACUUAUCCCUUACAUUACUUUACCUAGUAACUUUGAAAUAGGCAUAUCUUGUCUACCUUCCAUAUACCCUAGCAUUUCUACUAGUUGUUUUCUUGCAUAUAUCCAACCUGAAAUACCAUUGCUUCUUGUAGGUUUUUACUUCUACUUUCUUGACUAUAAUUACCUAUACUUGCCAUCCCGUCUUUCUAUUCCUUUUGAAAGUCAACUUGUGACUGACACAGCCUUCGAAGCUAUGAAAAGACCUAUUAUGUAUAGAGCUUGACAUGCCAACUACUAUAGCUAUAGUAAGUAGUUCUAGCUAUUCCUACUUGUUUUUUUCCUACUUGACUAGUGCUGACUUCUUUGCCUAUGAAAAUUCUUAUUAUUCUCCAAACUGUGGUAUCUGAAAUGACCCACUUUCCUGAGCAAAAGAAAUCUUACUAUAGCACGGUCUUACGUCCAGGAAUGGAACAUUCCAUCUCUUCUUGUCCACUGGUAUAGAAAGAAUAUGCAUUUUCUUGACCCACCGAAUCCUAAUCCUCAUCUUCAAGGGUCCACCAGGGCUUCCAAAGCUAGACUAUCCUCGGCAAAGAACCUAAGGGCGCUCCACCAGGGCUUCCAAAGCGAAACUAUCCUCGGCAAAGAACCUAAGGAAUUCCUCGAAUCGAUAGACUUUCGUACAACGGCAAACAGAGAGAGGGUUUUACGCUACUUCACAGUCAUAAGCAAGGGUGGAAGGUAUAACUCUAGCCGGCAGGCAGGAGGGAACGAAGCUCUUUCCUGAUCUUGGGCUAGAAUCCCCGACGUUGGUAGAUUUCGCAGUGGUGUAUCUUAGGAUCUUAAAGGUAAGCAACAGGGUUAAUCCCUAUCGAAGGAAUGGGGCUUUUCUUCACUUCAGCACUUCCCCUCGCAGUGGAUUCCACUAGGUUCUUAACCUCUUCCCAAUUCUUAAACUAAAACCUGCGAUGUCUAAUCCAACUCGGCACCUAACCAACUUGUCAGCAUCGUAAGUUUGCCUCAACAUUCCCCCUAGAAAUAGAAUAAGAAUGUAAAUCUACUUUCAUUUAUUUAUUAGGGAUGAGACUUUCUUAUAUAUUUUUAUAAUAAGUAUGCUCUGGAGUAAAAGGAUUCGAACCUUUGCAUGCCGGGACCAAAAACCGAUGCCUUACCGCUUGGCUAUACUCCAAACGGUCGGUUCCCAGGGAGAGGGGGAAGGGAGAAGCAGGGCUCGAAGAAAACGAGCCGUGCAAGGACGCGGGGAUAUAGCAAGUAAGCUGCAAGGUUUUCCCUUUAGGAACGGCUACAACAAGCUCGCGACUCUAAUAGAAACAAAGGGUCAGCUCUCUGCUCUAUUUGCUUGCAAUGCGUUGCCUAUCAAAGUCGGCGAACGCUUCCACCCCCUCUUGCCUUUGUUACGCAACACGCCAACAAAGAACCUUGGUUCCGUUGCGCCCUGUAUUCCGAGGCGACCAUUUCGCGUGGUUCGACCCAUUUCCCGAUCCGAAAAAUCCGAUAACGUACCUAUAUGAGUGGGAUGGAUGGUAAAUCAUUUGCAGUCUUUUUCGGCAGGACCUAGACACGGAGGUUCGGGAAGUAGCGCAUGACAGCAUUCACUGGUGAAAGGACUGGUAGCAGCGAGAGCAUCAUAGUUGACAUGGUCGGAGCUACAGUCCCCAUAUCCGUCUCUACUCUUUCUGUAAUUGACUCCCUCCCGCUCCCCCUUUUCCUUUGAAAUGGUUGAGGGAUAUGAAUCUGGAUCCCGAUCUUGUCUCUCGGACUAUCCCGUAGUGGUUCUGUGACCGUCAAUUGGAUCUAUUUCUUUCACACGGUCAACUGGCAUUGGUUUAACUAACUGGCUGGCUGCUAUUGAUUGAUAUCAGAGCCCGAGCCUUUGCCCCUUUUUGCAUGGUCUACCUCCUAUCGGCUACUGAAGCCCGAGUAUCAAACUACUGAAAGCGGAGGUUCAAAUACCUCGGUACCUGCUUGAUGGUGCUGGCAGAUCGACUACUUGGUCUGGGGUGUUUCGUAUCAAUCCAUGGGGGCUUUAGUCAUAGCCCCCGCCUCUGCUUUGUUCCCGCUCUAGGCUUAGACCAUCCUUCGUCAGUGCUUCCUGUGCUUCUGAUUAUGGAGCUGUACGACCUUCCGGGUCAACGAAUUAAAUGAAACAACUACCUCUCCCGUCCAUCAAAAAGUGUUAUUUCCUCCAGCUCUCGACUCCGCUUCUCCCUCCGAUGCCGGUAGAUUAAUUCAUUGACAAAACCCAUUGAUUCAAAGCAAGAAAACGGAUGCGCGUGCUAACGCUUUCGCGCUAGUGCACUCAAUCCGUUGCUUGUUUGGAACAAGAGUUUUCAUAAAAUGGUUCUUUUAUGCAAUUAUGAACGGGCAGGUCUCUUGUGGAUUCCUCCAACACCAUGAAUGAAGGGGGGAGUAUGAGGAAGGCCGAUUUUCUUUCUAUAUGAAGAUGAAAAAAGGAUCAGGGUCAAACAUUUCUUACUUUUGUUGAGUAUGACUGAAUGAGGAAGAGCUCCUUAUAUGGUAUCACUUUACCACCAUCUGAAAUGCGCGAAACUCCGAUUGGUGGAAGCCAGUCCAUGAAGAUUCCCCCUUCUCUUACGUGAAAUUCCCCUCUUUCGGUAAGCAUCCAGUAUCUCAGCAAAUGAACAUUUCUCUAAGCUUAUCCUGUAGCUUAUACGUCGUUAGAAAGCUGCUCCAAGGAUCCAACGAAUAGCUAAGGUUUGUUGACGAUCCCUGGCUACAAUCCCAGGAACAUCAUAAAUAGUACCUGCGACUCCUACUUUGACCACUUCGCAUAUUGGCUUUAUAUUAUCUACGGCGUCAACCAUAAGUUUGAUUACAUCGCGUUCAGUUCGAGCUAGGCGGUGAAAAGUUUUAUAAACAAUAGCACGAACUCUCGUUCUUUUACCAUCGAUCAAUGCGAAAGUUUACCAAUUUCUUGAUCAAUUCUUUUUGCUCACCAUCAAAGUCCCCCAUAUAGCUGAGAAUUUCCGAGCAAUUGGAAAUCGAUGACGAGGCCGAUAAAUUGAUAUUACGCGAUCGUUACUGUCCAUCUUUUUAAGCUCUGCUCCCGAAAAGAGAAAGGAGACUAAUCUUAACAUUGGCGUCGGUUUUUCCAACAAAACGAAGAAGUUUUUUUCUUUUUUUGAGAAUGAGCACACUGUGAACUAUCCUUUUUGAAGCGGAUAGUUGAUCGAACCAAAACCAAGACACUGUACACUAAAAAGACUAUUCGACGCUUCAGCUUACCACCCCCUCCCUCGAACUGAGCUAUUCCGAUGAUAAAUCACCAGGAUGACAUAAGACAGACACAAAACCUACGUACCCAUUACUUAGAGGAUCCGCCAAGCCCAAGCCUGAAAGCAAGGGUAUGAUGACCACUCUCUGAAAGCUUAAAACUGGCCCCGAUGAGCACGGAGACUAGUUGAGGUCCGAACGCGCACUCUUCCUUCGUUUAUUAAUACAGAAUUUAUUUGUAGGGAAUCCAGCCGGCCCCUCCGAUUGCAAGACAGACACGUCUGCAACAUGGAAUUUGUAAACCAAAAGUUUAUACGGAUUGCGCAGUACGGUAUGGUCUGCUAACUAAUUCUGGUGAACCCAAUGAUCUGUAUGAGGCACUUGAUGAUAAAAAUUGGAAGGGAGCAAUAGAUGAAGAGUAUGGUGCUUUAAUGCGUAAUAACACAUGGCACUUGGUUCCCGCAACUCAGGGACACAAUUUGAUUGAUUGCAAAUGGGUUUAUAAGAUAAAAAGGAAGGCUGAUGGUACUAUUGAUCGGUACAAGGCUCGUUUGGUUGCUAAAGGGUUUAAGCAACGUUAUGGUAUUGACUACGAAGAGACUUUCAGUCCUGUAGUCAAGGCGGCCACAAUUAGACUAAUAUUGUCACUAGCAGUCUCUAAUGGAUGGUCUUUGCGACAGCUAGAUGUUCAAAAUGCUUUUCUUCAUGGAGUUCUUGAAGAAGAUGUUUAUAUGCGUCAGCCACCUGGUUAUGAAGACAAGUCAAAGUUGGAUUAUGUGUGUAAAUUAGAUAAAGCACUCUAUGGUCUCAAGCAGGCACCAAGAGCAUGGUUUUCCAGACUAAGCAUGAAAUUGCAGAAUCUUGGAUUUCAACCGUCAAAAGCAGAUGCUUCGCUCUUCUUUUACAAGAAAGGUACAAUCUCCAUAUUUGUGUUGAUAUAUGUUGAUGACAUCAUUGCUGCUAGUUCUUGUGAAAAAGCAACUUCGGCAUUACUUCAAGAUUUGAAAGAAGAAUUUGCCCUUAAGGAUCUUGGUGCAUUGCACUAUUUCUUGGGCAUAGAAGUUAAUAAAGUUCAUGAUGGAAUUAUCUUGACUCAAGAGAAGUAUGCUACUGAUCUGUUAAAACGUGUCGGCAUGCAUGGCUGCAAGGAGAUCAAUACACCGUUAUCAACAAUAGAUAAAUUAUUGGCGAAAGAAGGUGAGCCUCUAGGUGCGGAGGACUCUACAAGGUAUCGAAGUAUUGUUGGUGCGUUACAGUACUUGACAUUGACCAGACCGGAUAUAGCUUUUCCGGUAAAUAAAGUUUGCCAAUAUCUACAUGCUCCCACUUCAUUGCACUAGACAGCAGUUAAGCGCAUAUUGAGAUAUCUCAAAGGAUCCUUGGGACUUGGUCUUCGAAUUUGCAAGUCAGAUUCAACUCUAGUAAGUGCGUUCUCAGAUGCUGAUUGGGCAGGAUGUCCAGAUGAUCGCAAGUCCACUGGAGGGUUUGCAGUAUUCUUGGGAGCUAAUAUGAUUUCUUGGAAUGCUCGGAAGCAGGCAACUUUUUCAAGAUCAAGUACCGAAGCAGAAUACAAAGCCUUGGCAAAUGCUACUGCAGAAAUUAUUUCGGUUCAAACCUUACUCAAGGAACGCGGCAUAACUCAGCCGCGGGCUGCAUGCUUGUGGUGUGACAAUAUUGGUGCGACCUCCUUAUCAGCAAAUCCAGUCUUCCAUGCGUGAACUAAGCACAUAGAAGUGGAUUACCACUUUGUGCGUGAACGAGUGUCUCAAGGGUUGCUGGAUAUUCGGUUUGUUCCUUUAGGAGAUCAAGUAGCAGAUGGCUUCACCUGUAACCUACCUAGAAGGCAAUAUAUACAAGGCGGCCUCCAUUGUGGAGGUUAACACGCUUCAUCAAUAGGUUACACAAAUUUACAGUGCUAACAUGACUGCAUCUCUACACGCCAGCAUCUCCACUGUGCUCGGAUCACUGAUAUGGUAUAUCUUCGACACUCAGCAGUGACAAAGUUUCCUGUAUUAUCCCGUGCAACAAUUCCUGCACCCGCAACUCCAUCCUUCAAGUUCAGUGCUCCAUUAGUGUUCAGUUUCAUCCAUCCCAAAGCAGGUGGAGCCCACUUCUGAACCACAGCCGAUGGGUCCUCCUGAGAUGGAAUCUCCAGAGAUUUAAUGAGCUCAUCAACCAAUUCAACAGACCUUAACGACUGGUACUUGACAUCGCCAUGGUUGUAGCUGUUUCGGCUCCCCCAGAUGGUCCACAUUACAGAGACUGCAAUUGCCGCCUCCCGUUUGCUCAUGAUAUCUGCAUCCAACACGUCCCACGACCAUGUAGCUGGGUUUAACCGUGGCAUCUUGAGAUCAAAAAGAUCCUGAGCCGCACUCCAAAACAAUUUUACAUGCUCACAUUCGACUAAUGCAUGAAACUUUGUUUCAUUGUCAUUGCCACAGAGAGGACAAUUACUUAUUUCUUUCAUAUGGCUUCUGCGGAGUUCAGCAGCACAGGGUAGCAAAUUUUUCACCACCCGCCACCAGAACACUCUUAUCUUAGGCAUUAUCCGGAGUCUCCACAGUGCUUUCUAGGUAGCCUCGUUACCCGUGGACGAUCCCGUAGCAGGUUCAGACAGGCCACAACGCUGAAUGAGUUCCCUGUACGCAGAUCUCACCGUAAAUAUGCUCGUUUUGUCCCAUGCCCAAGCCCAAAAUUCAUCUUGCUCUGUUCUCGGCCUUGGCAUGUUCAGAAUAGCAGCCGCAUCCAAUGGAAGGAAAAUCCGCUGCACCUUCUCCACAUCCCAUUGGUUUGUAUUAUGCAACAUGAGAUCGGCAACUAACUGAACUGGAUCAUCAGUCAUUCUCCCUAACGGCUUCAUUGUUUAGUAGUCCAUCUAUCCAUUGAUCAUGCCAUAUUUCAGUGGUACGACCAUCUCCGAUCCUACAGAUCAAUCCCAUUCUCAGUACCUCUCUUCCUUUGAUGAUCCAAGUAGACGAGGCACCUCGAGGGCAAUUAGCAGAUAGAAUAUCUCCUCCUUUGCUGUAUCUCCCCAGCAAAACACGUGCACAAAGACUAUCGGGCCUGUCCAGCAAUUGCCAAGCUUGUUUGGCCAGCACGGCAUCGUUGAAACUCUCAAGAUCCCGAAAACCAAGUCCUUUUUCAUUAAAGAAGCAAAUAAAUGACUUCAGGGGCUUGUGUGUUGAUUUUGUUUUGAACACAUACUUGAAUUUCUCCUUGCUACCUAAUAAGAGUUCAAAAGAAAGGAAGGCCCUAUUCCAGUCAAAAGUACUCUUUACGCUCACGAGCAGUCCUAUGAGGAUCCCCCCUGGUUCUGACUAUGAUUCACUAGGGCGAAGAUCUAAUAUAAUCUGGUUCAAGUUUUCCUUUUCUAUCGGGCCAUGGAUCACCUUCCUUUUUUCCAUUUUUUUAACUUGAUCACGCAACAUUUCUUUCUGCUUUGACCCAAUUGAUGACUUUGUCAAACUCCGUAGGUAGGGAGGAGUGGUCUUUCAGGAUUGGUCCUUGUGUUUCACUACUGUACACGGAUGGACCUCCUCUUUUUUAUGCAUCUUUUGAUUUAGUUUUUGCAAUACCUCAUUCACUUCAAGGGCACCCCAUUGCAACUAAUGAAUAAUGAAUUUGCUGUCUUCUAUCUAGGCCGACACCGGGAUUCACCACAACCCUUUGUUGUAUUCUUGAAGUCAAUCCAUAGUCAUGAGUUCUGAUUAAAGAAAGCAAGCCAUACAUACAUCAGUGGGCUGAGAAGCAAAUAGUUCCCCCGCCACUCCAUGCUAUAUUUCCUGCCUUGACCCUAUCAAGCAAGAGAAGAGGGUUGGGGGUGUGCUGUGAUGGUCUUACUGAUAUAGAACCCUUCCCUCAUUGAAAAGAAAGAUGCCCUCACCCGAUAGUUCUUCUUGCUUUAGCUUGGAUACCGGAUAAGUUGAUCUGAUUCAAGAUAUCUUAGAACACAGCACAUUCAGUGCAUAGGCCGGCCAUCAUCUCUCUCCUUGGAUAAGCAGGAUUUAGCAGGAAAUAUCGACAGCAUUUCCUAUAGAAAAGAAGCCUACUUGGUUGGGUGGGAGGAUGAAAAGAUUCUCUUCCUACUGGAAGAUGGCACUGUUGAAGUCUGGAGAGCGGAAGAUAUUUAAGUAAGGAUGUUAUGCCAGGUAGCAUUCGGUACAAGAGUGAGACGGAGGUAGCUCCGUAGAAGAAAGUAGUUUUGCAAAGAAGCUUGUUCUUCGGAGUAGAUUGGCACUACGGCACUACUAGCUUUUGAACAGAAGAAAGAGUUUGUUUUCUCGUCAUAAGUGCCACCAAUCUCGUUCAGGCACUAAACUAGUUUCUGGGAGGAUGGAUGGUUGUCCCUUCUUCUCAAUAGAAUCCGAUAGACAAGAAUCGAAAGCUGCAGAUUUUUUUAUUCCUCAAGUAAGUCAGUUGAUGAUUCAAUUCCAUCAAAGAUGGCAAGAGCGGGGCAUCUAGAUUGAUUCGUUUUUAAGGUUGUUAUACCGAAUAAAAAGUAUUCUGAUUCUCUGUUGAGGCAAGCUAUUCAUCAUUAACAGGAAAGAUCCCAAAGCUGUUAUUGCAAACAUGGGAUAGCCUGACUCUACGCUACAAUCUCUAUUUUCUUAUGAUAUUGAAUCUGGCUUCUAUUAUUGAAUCAGGCUUCUAUUAUUCAAUCUCUAGUUACCGUGGGAAAAGAAAGAGAUAAGAGCUCUUAGUGCAUGCCUUUUUUUUUGUGAUUCGAGCAGUUCUUGUCACAAGAUGAUGGGCCAGAGAAAAGUUUGAUAGGAAAGGAAGGCGACAGUUAAAUAAAAAAAAAGAAAGGGAAGAUGAUACUGAUAUAAGAGUACUGCUCUUUGCCCUAAGAUUACGAUCAGUCACUUUUUAUGUUUCAAUCAGCUCCUCACUUCUUAUUAAGGUUUUCGCGACCGACACCUAGUUCUUUCCACAUCACUCCACUGUUUGAGCAAUUUCCACUCUCCUUCCUGGUCAAACCUAUCAAAACCUUCGUUCAAGAACUCAUUCCAGCCCAUGCCUUCUCUGACUACUCCUUUCACUUUUUGAAGUGUAUUUAUUUGGAACAACUUUAAAUACUUCUCGCACUUGUCAACCCAUUCCCUCGUUCUCCCCUCCAUUAAACAUAGGAAAUUUAACCCCAAUCCAGGGUCAAACGAAGAUACUUGUUAGCCUAGCAUCAUGUGUAUCUGUAGCCUUCCCUAUUUUUGACAAUCUCCUAUUUCUUCGUAGCACGUGUCUCCUUCCUAUGUUCCGUCCCCUGUUACUGGAUAAGUAGAUUUUCUGUUUGAAGUGCCUAGAAGAUCCAGCAAACGGAGGUUAUCUCUCCCGCCUUGAGUUUCGGUCUUACGCAUUCAAGCCUAGAAUAAGGCCUAACAAUAGGGUGUAAACUUUAGCGAACUUCCAUGCUUAUAUAAUCCAAUCAAUUGCACCAUGAUUAAUCCACUAGACAAAAGGAAACCACAAUCACUACAUUAACCGAGCUAUAUUAGCCGCGCUUUCAAGAGCACACAUAGAAACCACUUAACAGUGACUCCUUCUGUUAGCUAUUCAUUUCCUGGGAGUUCAGACUGACGGUUAGGUUCUUUUUCUAAAUUUACUUAAGAACUUUUGGGCAAAGGAUACACCGGAAAAGAAGAGGAGCCUUUGUUCGUUUGGCAUUCGUUGGGGAUUCAUUUCUCGUUUUGCGAUUAGAUUCAUUGCUCGUCGAUAUGGUUUAGUAAAAAGGUUUUUUCUUUUUGAAAACCAGAUUCAUGCCCAGAAGAGGAUCCUCUAUCUGCUCUCGAAGCAGUCGUCAGCCUAAGCUUAGGUUUUAAAUCCUUAGGUUGACCCUACCCCUUUUUCUUCCUUUCCCUAUCCAACCCGAGCUCUAUCGGUCAUGGCUUUCUCCUCUCUUCAAUUCUUUCCGCCCAAACUAAUCCGCACUAGCCCCAAACCCUAGCCCUGUUGUCUGGAUUCCCGAUCUCUCUCCUACAAGAAAAACCUAUUCCACUAACGACUCUCUUUGUCUUAUAACUUGCUAAUACCCACAUGAGAAACGGUUUCCCCUCGCUUUCAGCCUCCCAUUAUGUCGUAGGCUCUCCGGACCUUCCAUUAUAUUUGAGAGAUGAAAUGCGUAAUUCAAGUCAUCAAACGAGCAUAAUGAAACAUCCAAUGCCUCGAGAGAGGAAUUUUAGAGACAUUGCUGGGCCCUUAGCCUGCCAGUCAACUUCAGCCUGAGAUGUGCCCGUCAAACCACUCGAAGGCGGCGAUCAGAUGUGUUACACAUUCAGGAGACUUGACAAAAAUGGCUAAAGAUCUACAACCUCUCAAAUAUCCCUAACUCAUACUCAUGUGAAUCUAGUUCCCAGGAUGUGCACUAGAUUCACACUUUCAUCUUAAGCAUGAUUAUACAUAGCAAACACAACUAAGAUGAAAGAAACUUAAGACUUACAACAACUUAAUAAUUACAUAGGCCGACCGGCCAAAUAGACUUAUUAGAGAACAGCGGAAGCUUGACUACCCAAUCACAAGCACACCGACUAGGGGUUUACCCCAUUAAGUUCUCAUCCUAGAAGAAGCAAUCGGAACCCGCAUCACUCAAAGACUAAGACUAAACCUGCAAACAAAAGGUUAUAUCAACAGCAAGAGUCAGUACAUUAAACAAGUUAAUGUACUGGCAAGCACAAGUCAAUCCUACUAUACUACAUGUAAGGCAUAUAUUCAAAGGAAGGCAAUAUGUAGUUCAAUUUCAGCAUAAAGCAAGUUUUGUUUUGCAAUUCUUUUGUAAAGGAGUUGAUGCUUCAAUUAACAAAGACAAGUUUUAAGUUUCAUUAUUAACUUCUUCAUAAUUCCAUCAUAAACAAUCUCUUUUUGCCAUACUUAACAAUAAGUCAUAAUGUAUCACCACAUACACAACUCAACACAUUUAUCAAUUUCAAACCCAUGUCACAUGAUCACAUUUUUAAAACAUAGUCUAUACUCAUGACACAUCACCAAAGCGCUCAUGACCGUGAGCACGGCUAAUCGAUUAGUUUAAAGAACUCUGCAGAGUUUGUACAGCUUUACCCACAUGAUAUGAACUCUCUAGUUUGUUUUGAGUUUGCAAGACUCCACCACACUCUUCAUGUUGAAUGUGAUCUAGAGGUCAUAACGAAGCCUUUACACUACUUAGAGCCUAGCCUUGCACCAGCACGAUACGUGUUCCUCCAUCCUAGGCAUACUUGGAAUAUACCUGGAACCGUUAAGUGGCGGGCCCACGCCUUAAACUUAACGCCGUGGUGGCGGACACGACGGGAACCCACCACGUGGCACAAUACCGUUGUAUUGGACACGCUUAGUCACCUAAACUACCACGUCGGGGUAAAUAGGAAGCUCCUCUGAAUUAUACGAACUCAUACACACCGGCCUACCAGAAUGCAAAGCUAGUCCUAAAUAGAUUACUCAGCUUAGGCCAUCCCAUACUAGCACAUGUGGAUGUACGAAUAACUUUAAAUGGGUGACACAAGUUCGGUCCUUAUCGACUUGGGCAAACACUCCCCCUAUCGGUAUGCAACUAACACCAUAUGCACACCACUUGCCGCCCAAGUAUAAAAUCACAUUUUACAUAUUUUAGUUCGUAAAUACCCAUCAUAUUCAUUUUAUUCCAACAAAGGUUCAUAUAUCAAAAUCAUAUUUUAAUUAUAGAUGGAAUGAGCAUUUGCAUAGUUCUAAGCAUGGCUAAGCAAGUAGUUACAAAUAGAGCAUAUAUAAACCCAUUUGAGCACAAAGAGUGUACUCUAACCAUUUCUAGGGGUUCAAACAGUAAGAGGAUCAAUUAUUCAAGGUGGGGUAUGCAGCAAAUAGGUCAUAACUACCUUAACCCAAUUUUAAAUACCGAUAUAAUCUAAGUUCACAUGCAGCUUUGCAAACAAACAUUUUCAUUCCUCAAAUCAUGGGAUUCAAUGUGUUCAAAGGAUGGGAGGAGAAAACUUGCCUUGAUCAGAGAAUUGUUAGCACCUAAUCCACUUCUUCACCGAUUAUGCAAUUAUCUAGAAAAAGGACACGACAUGCAAUUAAACACCGGAAGAGGUGAAAAUCCAAAAUGCUCUAAAAUGCAUGAUUUAUGCACAGUGGGUUGGAAAUGAUCUAAAAUGAAUUUAGGUGAAAUAAUUCCUAUUUUAUUUUAUUCCAUUUGGGAGUUAUGAAUUUUAGAAUUUUUAUCGGUUUACAAUAGUAUAGUCUUAGGUAGUGUUAUGAAAUACUUUUGUAAAGUGAUUUUUAUUAGAUUAGACUUCACAGGGGUGUGGAGAUGUGUUUUCUAAGACUAACACAUUUGGUUUCACAAUUUUUGGAAUUAUAAUGAAUUCUUUAUGCAUUUUACAAGUUAUAACGUGUUUUAGACAUAUAGUGUUUUAUAUGUUCAUGACUUUUGAGUUAUAGGUUCAGAACAUGCUACUUCCUGUUUAAGUUGAAUAAAAGGAAUAAUUCGCUUAACUAAAACAUUUUUAGUUCACAUGUUUAUGGUCUUUACUACUAUGGUUCAUAUUUUAUAAACUAGAGAUGCUCUAAUCUAAACUAGCAAUAUAUUAUAUUAACCUAGAAAUUGUUAUAUGAGCUAAGUUCUUCUAAGUUUUAGUGGAUGAGGAUGGAACUAUGGCUUCACUGGUCAAUCAAGUUUUUAUUUAGGUUUAAUUAGACCUAAAGUGUAUAUAUAUACUUAUACAUGUUUAUGUAUUACUUAAACAACACUAUGUGUUUAAAUUCUUAUUUCACUAAGUUAAGGUUUUGAUCAAUGUUCUCUACAAAAGGUGACAAAUUUUAUUUUACUAUGUUGAAGAUAACUAUUUGCUGGUUCUAUAGAAACUUUGUUCAUUUCAUUUGGACUAAAAAUAAAUUUUCUACAAGUUUUACAAAUUAAUGGCUGCUCUAUGUUAGUAAAUUCUUAUAUGAAUAUUUAGAGACUUUUACUACACAGCAAGUAUAUAAUCUUAUUUCAUAACUUGGAAAUACAUGUUUUAGUGAUCCUACAUAACUUAAGUUUAUUCAAAUUGAAGCUAAAUUGGGUUCUACAUGAAUUUCUAAAGUUUAGCUUAUCUAAAACUAAUCAUUAUAGAGAUAAUAGUUUUAGAGGCAUUUGAUGCAAAGUAAGUCAUUACUUUUAUUUAACCUAAUCAGAGAGUGUCUGAUGAUGAAUCUGCAGUUUUUGAGUUUGUUUCAAAAUGAGUUGAAAUGAAUUUUCUAUGUAUUUUAUAAGUUUGUACAUGUUUUAUGCAUGACUUAUCUUAGAUAAAUCUUAGAGACAUUAUUUGUACAGUGAGUGUCAAGUUUUAUAUUCCUGGAAUAAAGUUCAUAACUUCAAGAAUCUACAGCAACUGGAAUCACUUCAAAAUGAGCUUCAUUUGAUUUUAUAUAGAUUUUACAACUUUGUGCAUUUUUCUGCUAAACAUGUAUUUGUUUGGGCAUUUUCCUAAUUUUUCUUCAGAUUUUAAAGGAUGGGUCCACAUGGCUGUGAGGGACCAAUAUGCACAAAGGCCCUUGAGGUUUCUAGGAAUCAACCCGCAGUCCUAGGCCCAUAUGUCAGUUACUAAUAUUUUGCGCAAAAACCCCUGGUUUCUCGGGAAAUAGAUCCCGCAGUCCCCUAGUUUUAGGUUUGUAUGCAAAACGAUGCUUGAGUUUUAGUUUAUUUACAGAUUAUUACUGGUCCUACUUGUAAGUGACUGUUCCAGUUGUUAAUACAUCCCUGGGAAUCUUUAAAUUUCAAAAGCCAUGCCCUUGCUCUGGACAGAGCAGAGCAGCAGCACAGCCGCGAGCUUCACAGCAUCACCAGUGGCGAACAACGGCGAUUCAGCUUAAGCUCCCAAAACAAAAAGUGUAGAGAACAACCGUGUGAACCUAUUGGUGGCUUUCUGGCAAGAUUUGGUGCUCUAUAGCGGCUGUUAGGGUGUUAGAGGCGGUGGCUAAGCUCGGCUUGCACAUGCAUGUGGGUUUUGAGGCUCGAUUUAAUCGUGCAUGCGUAUGAUAAGGACUCUAGGGACUACUAGGAGGCUCACCAAGAAUCAAACGCGGCUCGGCGAAGUCUUGGCGACGGUGUACUGGUUCGGCGACGGCGCAACUGCUACGGUCGUCGUCGACGGUGUACUCCCGGGCUUCUACUGCAUAUAGAGGGUGCAUGCUUCGGUUUAGAUCAGCACAAGGUAGCUCUAGGCGAAAAAUAUUGCGCCGAAGCUCACCAGAGAAGGAGAAAGAAAGGAAUGGCGUCGGCGGCCAGAGUUGGAAAAAAAAAAGAAGAGGAUCUCCCACCGUGGUCCACCUCGCGUCGAUUCCUUCGGGAUUCUUGAUCUACAGAGGUUGAUGAAGCUCGUGGCGAAGUGGCUCAGCUUGUCACGAACCGUGGAAGCUGGGCGACGAGCAAAGGCGAAGCAGCGGCGUCCAGAGCGCGACGGUGUUCCGAGUUGACGCGGUCGCGUUCCCGGAGAUUGGCUGCACUAAAAGAGGCGUUCUUGGUGGCGUUAGAGACGGCAUUGAGAGGGAAUUACAGAACGCUUAUUGAACGGAAAUGGAGCUCACCGGAUUGCGACGGCGUCGAGGACUUCUCUCACCGGCGCCGGAGUUGGCACCCCCGUUCCCGGCGAAUCCGAGGCGGGGUACCUCGGUUCUUCUGCGAAACGAGACAGGGGCGAGAGAGAGUGAGAGUUGGUCGGCCAGUCGGGUUAAGUACGGUCGCCGGCGGAGAUGGGGAGGAGGAGCUCGCCCUCUUCCGCGCUCAACGCGUGCUCACACGCGUGGCGCGCGGGGUCUGAGUCGUGGGCCUGUGUGGAGAGGGAUGUGAGGCUGACAAUGGGGUCCCACUAGGCAAGAGAGAGGUGUAGAAGGAGGAAGUGUUGGACAGGGCUGAACCUAGCCUAAGGUACUGACAAGUGGGGCCAACUCGAUGGAAACUAGGCCAGGGAGAGAGAUAUGGGUAGAAGACUGGUAAACUUGAUUUUUAGAUUAAUUUUCGGAAUUAUUUUCUCCUCUAACUUUGUAACUACAUAAUUCAAUGUGUGGACCAAAUUAAUUAGUGUUGAUUUUACUGGAGGUAAAUGAUUACACCUAGAUUCCAUUUUCUUUGGUUGCACUAAAAAAUAAUGGGUGGACUGCUCACAGAAAUUAAACAAAGAUGGGCUAUUAGAAAGCUAGAUUGAAUUUUUAGGAGGCUUAAACAGAGAAGGAAAAUUCUAGAAAAAUUACAUUUAUUCAUGAUAACUAAUCUAGUAUUUGAAUAAAUUAUUUUCCAUGUUCACUUAUGUGCAGUUAAAUGUACUUUUGGAUGAAAUAUGGUUUUAGCCGAUUAAAAUUUAAUUUGAUUUCUUUUAGUUGUCUGCUUCGACCGAUUAAUUUGAGAUAUCAACUUGAGUGUUAACACGUUACCAAAUUACGGAGGAUAAGUUUGUGCUAAUCAUUGUCCACAUAAAUUUUUCCAUGAUUUUAUCUUGCACAAAAUAUUUUAGAGAAUUAAGUUGACCUUUAUUUGUAUAUGUGUUCCCACUUCAUAAUUGCAUCUAAUAUUAUUAUAGGGAUUACAUUAAACUUCUUUUAGACUGAGAAGAUGAUAUUUGAGUUUAAUAUUAAGUCCACAUGUUAUCACCCAAGAUUAACUAUAGGUUUGUUUAGUGAAGUAAUUCUUUUAGAUUAUGCUCAUGGGAUCUAUUAUAGAAUGCAAGACCAAAACUCCAAAUGCACAAAGAACUCGAGCCUAGGCAUGCAUUAUGUACAUGUAUGCUUGGUGACAUUUCUAGUCUAAUGUUGGGAAUGAAAAGGUUUUAUUUUGUUCUCAAAUUUUAAUCAUGCAAUGGUUUAAGUUGAUCAUCACCUAAAUUAAAACGGAAAUUUUUGGCUCUCAAAAUUGGAGAAAUUAACCUCUAACUAUUUUGAUAAGAAAUUUUAAGUCCUAAAAUUUCGGGUAUGUUACACAUUAUAAGCUAGAUGACUCUACUGUGACAUGUUAUGACGAUCUGGAAGCCCCCAACCAUAGAUAGAUGCUUUGAUCAUCCAGGUUUUGCCAAUCCACGAACUGCAUCGUAUAAUAACCGCGGAUAUCAGGCGUAGGUUGACCUUGAGUGGUUCACUGAAGGGUAGGGCUAUCUCUUCCCUUUCCAUGCCUUUGAUUCAUCCCGGAUUGUGUUGAUGUGCACAUGAACAAAAGUGCACAUUCCUAUCCCCGAAGCAAAUAAAUCAGAUGACUUUUCCGAAGCAAAGAAGAAGAUGAUGGCUCCUACAAGGCACAACACCAAUGGAACAGUGGAACGGGUAUCUUUUAGCAAAGCAAAGGGAAAGGAGGUAUCAUACCAAGGGGUUGAAGAAAGGGUUUAACCAGCGGAUUCGCAUAUCUUUUUCCAAUGGCUUCCCGCAUCCCUAGUUUUUUAACUCCUGGUUUCGGGUAACGGUUAUGGGUUUGGCCCCCUUCCCUUGGCGAGCAUAAGAACCAUUCGUAUACGUUAGGAGCAGAAGUUGACGUGGGUAUACUCUUCAUUUCAUCCUUUUCAUUGAAUCCCCUAUCCUAUUAUCCAGCAACGCCCAAGCUGUCGAUGAUCACCUAGCUCUUGUUGGAAGCAAUUGAAGUAUACUCUACAUCAACAUGGGAUUGAAAAGGUGAGGGCGUAGCGAGCGCUAGAGCUAUUCCUACGAAAAGGGGAGCUAUUCCUAUGAUUCCUAGUAUCCGUUCAUCGAUAGACUGUCCUCGGGCAAGGGAAAUAUACUAACACUAUUACUCAACCCAUAAUACCCUUUCCAAGGGCUCAAAACGGGUCUUUGCUACAAUCCAAUCCAUUUUCAAACAAAAGAAAAGAGCAAGUUCCCACAGGCGAAGAGCUGCUUCCGAGAAAUAUUUAUCUUCUUUUACCCCCUUUACGCCCUUCGCGGCUGCUAACAAUGAGCUAAUACACAGGAACGGCACGGCUCCUACACCGCUUAACUCCAAUAACAGAACCUGGUCCCACAUCCCUUGCAUUUGAUAAUGAAACAAUCAGAAUUUGUUGAAUUGAACAUAUUUCAAUCUCAUUUCUUUUACGUGGUUUUGGCAACUAUCAAUUAUCUCUUUCCUCGGCUUCCUACACGGAUAUAGCCGUAAACGGUAUCUAGUAGGCAACCUGGGAACUACAUUAGCUUAGGGGGAUCGGGUAGCGAGCGCUCUCCUCGGCAAAGCACAUGAUUGAGAUUUGAAUUAUUGUAUUGUGAAUAAAGGCAUGAAAGGAAUUUAAUAGUAGUUAGGUAUUAAAAAGAAGAUCUAAUUCAAGUGGUAAAGCAAGUAUAUAAUGAUGAUAAAGUCCAGAGGAAAGGAAUAUUGUUUCACGCCUGCAUAGACAAGUAAGUCUGCCACGAACCCCUGUCCCUGCCAAGUAGAAAGCUAGUAAGCAAGUACUGAACUUCAAUCCUGCAUUCUCACUCUUGUUUUUGUCGCUCAAUCCAAAGAAAGAAAUAGGAAUACGAAUCCUCAUCCCCAAAGCCUGGGUCCUAGACUACUACGAAUAGAAAGAUUUCUAUGGAUAUCCUUUGUAUCAAUUUUAUAAUGCUUAUCACCUCCUUCUGAGCUAUUCCCACGGUGCCUGAGCAGUUGCCAUUGAGAAUGUUGUGGGGAACGAUUGGGUGACUUAGCACAAGCAGCGCGUAACAGGUCCUUUGCAGAUGGUAAGUACCUGGAUUUCAGAGGCAUUGCUAGAUGUGUCGACUUGCGAGACGAGAUUGCGGUGUAGCUCUUGAAAGAAAGAAAAAGAGGGGCUCAGUAACGGCAAUCAACGGCUCCUCGGAGGCAACCUAGCCAAUUGAGUAGAGAUAUGAAAUGACGAGCGAAUUACCCGAUUCCUAUUAUGCUACGCCCCGGGAUAGUAAUAGCCUUGUUUCGGAUUUUCUAGCGAUGACUAGCCCUUUGACGGCUCCUAUCCCUAGACACCGGCCCCUGGUACCAAUACUAGAGAUUUGCCUUGGCUGUAGUUCAAAGAAGUUCUUCGGCUUUGGGAAGAUGCGAACCUUAUACCAUUGUCCUUGGAUAGAUAUGAACCUUACGCGGGCAGCGGAUGAGCAUAUCCCUAGAAUACCUGCCUAUCCUACCUAACGCUGGGUUGAACCUAACGCUAGAGCGAGUACUACGAUGCAAGCUCCUUUUACAAGCGAUACCUUUGUCUUUGGUGCUUGAGUUGUCCUCCUAGCGGUGUGCUCCUCGGUUUCGGAAAUGACAUAUUGAACCGGUAUCUUUAGCAAAGCCCAAAUCCGGCAGACCCCUUUGACGGCAUCCCUCCUCUAAAGCUGCUUCCUUCCUUCAAGCAACGCAUUCACGAACCAAUACGUAGUACACGACGUAGUAAAUCAAUUAAAUAAUGCAAUCCGGGUUAAAGAAAUGAAAUGGUUGUUGCCUUCUCGGACAAGAAGGAAAUAUCACUCUCUAUCUAAAUGAUAGAAGUAUUUAAUCAAAUCAGAAAGAGCCCUGGGAUUUGACCAAAACGGCAUAAUUGAAAGCUCUCGUCUCUGCCGCUCGCCUAAGAAAAGGUAUCGGGUUGCUCCGUGAUGACGAAUAAGCAGCCCAGAAAUGAGGGGAGGAGACUCUGCCUCCAUAGUAUAAGUUGCUAUCCACUUAUGCUUGGUUUGUGCUUGACCACGAAAUCUUGCCUCCCACCAUCAUGAAAGACAGAUGAUGAUGUCGAUUUCUUACUGUCGAGACAGCCUGUCCGAAUCCAAAUCAUUUGACUUCCUCCUUUGCAGUGGCGAGGUCGUUGAUUCCUAUAAAUCAAGAUGUUUUGUUGCCUGCUUCUUUUUAUGAGCCUUCUCUCUUGGAUGGUAUUAUCCACUGGUAUAUUGUGAAAGUCUCUACAAAGACGAAAGGACCCCAUGCCUUCUUUGAAAAUGAUAUCCCUCUUCAAUGCUUCCGCUAGCCCUAGACUCGGAAUACUCUGCUUAAGAGAUCCCCCUCUCCGGCCAGAGAGGAUUUGAGUACAACAUUGAUUGCGGAAGAUCUUUGUUCCUAUUAUUUCAAAGCCUAACUAGGCGCGCAGCGGUGAGUGCGAGCUGCUUUCAAGAAAUGCUGGAAAAGAGCCAGUAACGCUAUCAGUGAAUAGAGCUGGUGUAAAGUCCGGCUAAAGUACCAUACAGCCCCACAGGUUUAGCCACACAUUCACAGAGCAUCUAAUCCAUCUUUUCCCAUGCCAAGGAAAAACAAAAACCAAAUCACCUCUUAGUGUUGCUUAGUGCUCAUGUGCAUCCUACUGGGUAGUCCUAAACUUCAGUAGUUCUAUGACCACUACAUGAUGGAAUUUAGGCUAUAGUAAGACAAGUUAAGGUUCCCACAGCAAUGAGGGCUUUAAAAUAUACUCCCUCCGUCCCUAAAUGUUUGACAUCGUUGACUUUUUUAAACAUGUUUGACCGUUCGUCUUAUUACAAAACUUUUGUGAAAUAUGUAAAACUAUAUGUAUACAUAAAAGUAUAUUUAACAAUAAAUCAAAUGAUAGGAAAAAAAAUUAAUAAUUACUUAAAAUUUUUGAAUAAGACGAACGGUCAAACAUGUUUAAAAAAGGCAACGGAGCUAAACAUUUAGGGACGGAGGGAGUACCUCCCAGCCCUUCAUCUCUAGGACGUCGGACUGGUCAAGCGGUACUAUGCACCCCCACUUUGGUAUACCCUCCUAAGAGGAGUACUUGACAGUAGGUGGUGGGUUUUUGGGGAUAGUAUGACUCGGCCCCUGGACCAUGCCAACCAAGACUUCCCACCAGGUUUUCCUAUUUGGGGAAAAUUCCAGAUAUGCAAGACGCAUAUGCAUGCAAUGCUUAGGUGUAGUGAGGUGGUGUGUGCUUAUUGCAAAUAGGUUAACCCUUAGUUUAUACAAACUACAUUUUUCACAAAGGAAAGAAAUGGGAAUGUUGGUGAAUUUUCAAGUCAAGCCAUUUAUAUUUAUAAGCCAAAAACCUUUGAUUUAAGGCUUUUAUUCCCUUGUGGAGUCGCGUGUUGUACGCCCGCAUUUUGGCACCGCUUGCCACAUCAUCAUUACUUUGGCCACCUAAGCAACCCAGUAGAAGAAAAAGGGGUUUAGAGUCGCCACCUGAAAAAUCACUGAAAAUUUGGAAUAAAUAAAUGGAUAUAUAUAUAUAUAUAUAUAUAUAUAUAUAUAUAUAUAUAUAUAUAUAUAUAUAUAUAUAUAUAUAUAUAUAUAGUGGCUAUCUUCCUUCAAGUGAGAGAGAGGAUCGAGAAACCAUCGCCCAAAGGUGCUUUCACGAAAGCCGGUCUCCGGGGGUAAAGAACCUUUCUUCACUCUUCCAGCCUUCCAAACCAUCCACUGGAUUUUCAUGUUCGUAAGUUGAAAGGAAUAUGUGUGUGUUGUAUAUAAAUAAAGGACUUUCGAUUUAGCGUUGUCAUUUUUACGAGGUUUUAGAUAAUCCAAUUUUCUGUGAGAUUACUUUCAUUUUGACUGAAUCACUUGAAUCAGUUAAAGGAGACGAGGCUUCUGGCCCAGCCAGAGGGGCUGGAGAGGAGAGUUUUGACCGCGGGGGAGGCAGGUCCAGUUAACGGGGAGAAUCCGCUAGGCUGAGGUUAAAAAAAUCUUCCAAAACUUUUUCUUUAGAGAUAGAAUUCCUCCCGAGAACACACGAAACAAAAAUAUGAACUAGGUAAAUAGAAAUGGAAAAGAGAUGUUUCCAAUUCAUCACAAAAUCUAAAGCUUUUUCUACAUCCAUAUGAUCUACUUUAGUAGAUUGGUAUUGCCCAUAUAAUGAAAGCAGAUCUUGGUCCAUGGAGUCCCAAGAAGGUUGGAACUCCAACCUGUCCGAUGCUUUUUCGGCCAAAUAAAUAGAAAAGUGGGACCAGCACAAUGAGCAAGCUGCGCGAAAAACCGCUUCUUUUUCCGGUUCCGCAACAACUUGGGCGAAAUGGGGUUCUACCGGGAAACCAUGGUCGAGUUUUUGACCUUGGUUACUGGUCGAGCCACUGGAUAAGAAUCUCUGGAGAUCUUUCCUCUCCACUUACUUGUAACAGGCUUUCCCUCUGUAUAAGACUUCUUCCGAAUGGCAUAAUUGUCCUGUCCUAUUGACACCUCGAUCUUUAAAGAAAACUGACUCCUCCUUCUCUUUUAGGAUUUGAUUGUUGUUGGUCCUUUUUUCAGUAAUGAUCUCACCAUAGUAGUUCGCGCGAGGGACUAUCUUUUCUAUCGCUUGCUUUUCACUCUCAAGACAACGGUCGGUCUCUCUAUGCUAUAAAGCGAAG